CGCUUGAAAAACCUGGUUGUGACGUCGCGUUAAGUGCACUAGUGGUGUGACAUGACGGCGCGAUUCGAUACGAGGCAUCGCAAGGUCGAUUAACCAUAACGAGCCAACACUAGCGUGAG